ACAAACGAAAAACUCAGGUGUGCCACGGGCACUGGUAAGAAAAAUUCAAUUGAAUUGAAUUUACUUUAACACAAAGAAGGAAUUUUCAUGGCGCUGCUAUUGCAAGAAGUAUUCCUCCGAACGUCCGGGAGUACUGAGAUUGUUAAGAAAUCCCGAAAGAAACCAUUAUGGUAACGUAACCAAAAAACCAGCAGCAUUUUAAUAUAAUUAACAUUAUUAUAUCAUACUGUAUUUGAUUACCUAAGAUCAAUGGUCAUACUCAGUAAAAAAUGUUAUUAUAAA